CAGAAACUACAAGGAAUUGACGGGCCCCGCACAAGCAGCGGAGCGUGUGGUUUAAUUCGAUGCUACACGAAGAACCUUACCAGGGUUUGACAUACAAGUAGUAGGGAAAGGAAACUGGACCGACCCUUCGGGGAGCUUGAACAGGUGCUGCAUGGCUGUCGUCAGCUCGUGUCGUGAGAUGUUCGGUUAAGUCCGCUAACGAGCGCAACCCUCGCUGUGUGUUACAAGUGUCACACGGAACUGCCGGUCAUAAACCGGAGGAAGGUGGGGAUGACGUCAAGUCAGCAUGGCCUUUAUAUCCUGGGCUACACACACGCUACAAUGGGAAGGGACAAUAGGUUGCGAAACCGCGAGGUGGAGCCAAUCCAGCAAAACUUCCCUCAGUUCAGAUUGCAGGCUGCAACUCGCCUGCAUGAAGUUGGAGUUGCUAGUAAACGCAGGUCAGCCAUACUGCGUUGAAUACGUUCCCGGGGCUU
rnacentral:rRNA from 1 species